rnacentral:piRNA from 1 species
GUGGUUGAUUGUUGAUUGAAGA